ensembl:lncRNA FTX FTX transcript, XIST regulator
ACUUGGAGACAGGCCACAUUUGGGCAGUACGCAUUCGGAGGGCUCUCUGGCUUUCCGAUCUUGGGUCGCUGUACUUGGCUCUGAAUACAGUCACCCCAUCAGAGUAGCAAAACACUGUGGUUGUAGUGUGAGAAUCCAAUGUUAAUGUUGGCCGAAAGCUCUUGAUUUUCUUCCCUGAGAACAUAGGCGUGAGGAUUUGGAUGUGUUUCCAAAUGCUUGUUACUCUUUGCCGUAAACCUGGAAUUUGGACCUAUGGCUGCCUGGGACUCAUACUGUCGUGGAGAAAGAUUGAAAAGUAGUUAAUGGCAGUGGUGGUAUGAAGAUAAGCCAGCUAAGACAUGUUUUAAAGUAGAAGAUUAUAAGACCUCCCCCAGGGUCCUGCAGUCAGUCAGUUAUACCCUGCCCUUCAACAUCAAGCUUUGAACCUCUACUCUAGAAAUACCUUUUAUUAUAUUCAAACUUGAAGCACGUGGACAUAGCAUGCUUUGGUGCCUUCGUCCUUGCCCCCCUCCUUCCUACACAGUUCUUUGCAAUGAGAAUAUGGGAAAUAAGGACUUAAUGUGAGAUAAGGCAGAAAGUCAGCAUGAAUACCAGCACAGCCCAACUAUGUGUAAGCAGAUCUGUGCAGGAAUGAGAGUCCCAGGGAGAGAAUCCACGUUGUUUCUGAAAGAAAAUGGCUAUAGCUCACUGUUGUUUACUGGAAAUAGUAGGGGGAAGGAAAGAUGGAAGUCCAGGUCCAGUGUCAUAUACUGCCCUGCACCUUACUCACUUCUCUGCCUUUAGGGUGAUGCCACACUCAAUCAGAAACUAUGCUACUGCUGAAGAGGUAUAUUGAGCCCUGCCUGGUUAACCUCCAGUGAGGUUAUUAGAGAAUUGGGAGAGGCUCAAAUCAGCAUCCUGCACCUAGUUAUCAAACCAUUGUGAAGUCUUGAUUCCUGGAUGGCCAGAAAACUUGUCAUUGGUCAAGAGCAACAUUAAGAUCUGCCUGUUACUCAUACUGAUGCUUCCUGCCCAGCAAGUUCAUCAGAGGGCGAGGAUGAAUUACGGUUGCCAUGAAUGUCCUUGUGAGGCAGUUGGGAAGCCUUGGCUGGAUUGUGAAGGAUAUUUGAAAAGUAUUUUAGAGUCCACCAGAUCAUCCAUGUGAGUGACCAUGCAGCAAAAGAAGGAGGGUCCUCUCAGUGAUUAAGGUGAUCUGGACAAAGGAACAGGUAUCUCAGAGACAGGGUUUUACCAUGUUGCCCAGGCUAGAUUUGAACUCCUGGGCUCAAGUGAUCCUCUCGACCCAGCCUCCUGAGUAUCUGUGACUGCAGGCAAGUACCCCUGUGCCUGCUCACUUAUUUAAAGUUCUACACAUCAAA